GGGUUUAAAACCCUAAUGAUGGCUGAAUGGAAAAAGUUCAGUUUAGGGUUUAAAACCCUAAUGGUGACUAAAAGGAAAAUUCAGUUUAGGGUUUAAAACCCUAAUGCUGAUUAAAGGAAAAAUUCAGUUUAGGGUUUAAACCCUAAUGCUGAUUACAUGGAAAAGCUCAGUUUAGGGUUUAAAACCCUAAUGCUGGCUGAAUGGAAAAAGUUCAGUUUAGGGUUUAAAACCCUAAUGCUGACUAAAAGGAAAAUUCAGUUUAGGGUUUAAAACCCUAAUGCUGAUUACAUGGAAAAGCUCAGUUUAGGGUUUAAAACUCUAAUGCUGACUGGAAGGAAAAGCUCAGUUUAGGGUUUAAAACCCUAAUGCUGAUGGCUGGGGACAAAAUUCGAGAACAACCACUGACUUCUUUUUUGAAUUUUCUUACUUUAGUAAAAGAAGUAAAAGGGAGUUUCGUGGAAACUUACCUUUCGAGUGAAUUCCUUAUUGCCAAAAUGUUUCUUGUACCCAUGUACCUUCUUCUUUGGGCGACACCUGCCUCUUGUACGGUUGUCUUGGAUUAAGCCUGUUUGAACUUUUUCAGACAAAGAACACUUGUUAGUUCGGAAAAUGACGGUCGAUUUGGUGACCUUGAUCGUUCCCGGUUGCCUUGUUGCAUCUUCAUUUCUGUCGCGAAGUCCCGCUAUUGGUUUGAUUCAUAUGUAGGAACCCUUUAAACUGCUCAAGCUUGAAUUUCCAUAUUCUGUGAUGAUUUGCCUCGUAAGGCUCCUUUUCUUUUCUUUUUUUUGUGUCCCGUUUUAAUUAGAGGUUCUCAACGGGGAUUUUAUUGGAGGUAUUCUGUGGGAAUUUGUACAAAAGGAAGCUCUGUGGGGGAAUAUUUACAAAGUGGAUUCUUUGUGUGGAUUUUGUACAAUGGGGUAUGCUGGGUAUUUGUUUCAAAACGAGUUUCCCAGGGUUUGUUGGGGUAAGCUUUUUUGGGGAAUAUUUACAAAGGGACUCGCUGGGGAUGUGCUGAGGAAAUUCCAACGGGGUUUUUUUUUCUUCAUAUUGGGGAGACUCUGUGAGAGAUUGUACAAAAGGAGAGACUCUGUGGGG
rnacentral:lncRNA from 1 species